UAUAUUUGCCAGGCUAAUUAAAAAUUGAUUGGCUACAUAAGAAUCAUUUAUAACAAUAUUGGCAUG
ncrna:unclassified sequences S15-Flavobacteria ribosomal protein leader